AACGCCCACAAACUUCAAAAAUCGGAAGUAUGAACGCGGAUAUCUCGGAAACUAUUAAAGAUAGAGAAUUGGGACUUCAGAUUAAAGAUUCAGUAGCCUUGUGCGCAGCGCAAGUUUGUUUCGCAAAUAUGCCACGCCCACAAGCCGCCUAAACCUGUAGCGCCCAUAAUUUUCAUCCUCUCUGGCAUAUGGAUAUAACCAAGACGUUAAGUGUGACCGCAUUCUAACAAAAUACCACAUGAAGCAAUUCCGCAAAAGGGUCAAAUUCGCAAAAUAGGUGAAGUGCUGUUGGAGAUCCACUAGAGAAUCCCAGUGGGAAGGAACAUGCCGAGUGGGACUCAAAUCUCUACAUGGACAUCCUGCCGGGCGCGUCCUCGAAAAGAAACAGAACCACCAGUAAUACGAUCUCCGACGACCUCUCCAUUAGGACUCCGGACAUCACCACCACCAGCUACUUGGCAGCUUAGGCGGAGCUGGGGGACCCUCUGGCUUCUAUAGGGAGGAGGAAAAUAGGGCGCCCGCUAAGGAACAAUUGGAAGCAAUUCCGCAAAAGGGUCAAAUUCGCAAAAUAGGUGAAGUGCUGUUGGAGAUCCACUAGAGAAUCCCAGUGGGAAGGAACAUGCCGAGUGGGACUCAAAUCUCUACAUGGACAUCCUGCCGGGCGCGUCCUCGAAAAGAAACAGAACCACCAGUAAUACGAUCUCCGACGACCUCUCCAUUAGGACUCCGGACAUCACCACCACCAGCUACUUGGCAGCUUAGGCGGAGCUGGGGGACCCUCUGGCUUCUAUAGGGAGGAGGAAAAUAGGGCGCCCGCUAAGGAACAAUUGGAAGCAAUUCCGCAAAAGGGUCAAAUUCGCAAAAUAGGUGAAGUGCUGUUGGAGAUCCACUAGAGAAUCCCAGUGGGAAGGAACAUGCCGAGUGGGACUCAAAUCUCUACAUGGACAUCCUGCCGGGCGCGUCCUCGAAAAGAAACAGAACCACCAGUAAUACGAUCUCCGACGACCUCUCCAUUAGGACUCCGGACAUCACCACCACCAGCUACUUGGCAGCUUAGGCGGAGCUGGGGGACCCUCUGGCUUCUAUAGGGAGGAAGAAAAUAGGGCGCCCGCUAAGGAACAAUUGGUAUACUAGAUUCGUCGGAAAGAUCACCAGCCGAGUCGAUCUAGCCAUGUCCGUCGGAUGAACUCUGCAAUUUCGGCAACUAUAAGACCUAGAACAAACAUUUUAACUGAAGUGUAUUGUUCUCAUCACUACCCGAUGGACCCAAAAAAAGUUUUCCACGCCCCCUUUAACGCCCACAAACUUCAAAAAAUCUCAAAUAUGAACGCGGAUAUCUCGGAAACUAUCAAAGAUAGAGAAUUGGGACUUCAGAUUAAAGAUUCCGUGGCCUUGUGCGCAGCGAAAGUUUGUUUCCCAAAUAUGCCACGCCCACAAGCCGCCUAAACCUGUAGCGCUCAUAAUUUUCAUCCCCUCUGGCAUAUGGAUAUAGCCAAGACGUUAAGUGUGACCGCAUACUAACAAAAUACCAUAUGUACCAUUUCUCAUUUUAAUCAUUUUACAAUAAGUAUAAAUUGGUACAAUAGACGACCCCAAACUGCUCCAAAAUUCUAUUAAUUUUUUUUACAAUAUUCUUUUUUUGCAAUUCCUCUGUUAUACAUUUUGACAAAGUGGUUUUAAAAUGUGCUUUUCACGAUCCCAAGGCAUACCAGCAAAUACCUGCAAGCCCUUUUAAACCCGUUACUCGCAGAGUAAAGUGGUAUACUAGAUUCGUCGGAAAGUAUGUAACAGGUAGAAGGAAUUUGUUUCGAACCCAUAAAGUAUAUAUAUUCUUAAUCAGGAUCACCAGCCGAGUCGAUCUAGCCAUGUCCGUCGGAUGAACUCUGCAAUUUCGGAUACUAUAAGAGCUACGAUAUUGGGAUUUGGCAUGCAGAUUCUUGAGCUUCUUGCGCAGCGCAAGUUUGAUUCAGCAGGGUGCUACGCCCACUCUAACGCACACAAGCCGCCCAAAACUGUGGCUCCUACAGUUUCGAUGGUAGAAUAAACAUUUUAACUGAAAUGUAUUGCUCUUAUCAAUUUCUUUCGGUGGACCCAAAAUAAAAGUUUGCCACGCCCCCUUUAACGCCCACAAACUUCAAAAAAUCUCAAA